GCUUGCCUGUUAGUGGCAGACCUAUAUAAUUAGGCCUAUGUUAAGCAGCCAUGGCUUGAGGCCCACAAGCCCCAGAACACGUGCUUGUAUAAACACUCAACACUCUCACAUCCACAUCAAUAACAAUAUUGUCAAAUCCACAUCACAAUUAUUGCCUUUCAACCCUCCGCCCCUCUGCUGAACCUCAAGCUGUAAUGAAGGGAACAUUUCCAUUCACUGUGAUUACCAGACUCUUUAGACAAAUUUGCUUGUCUGUGGAUGUUAGAAACUCUCAGAAUGUAAUUGUUUCUGACACAGUGCUUUUUUUAAAAAGUUCUUUUUCCACCUCAGCUUAUGCCGAGUAAACGUGCACAGCAUUACACACCUUUUUAAUCUCUGUACAGUCAUUGUUCCCUCCCUCUAUCUCAACCUGCAGCCCCUUUUCCUUCCUAUCCAGAAGGCCCGUUUGUCAGAACAUGUUCUUGUGGUGGGAAGCCAUCUGCUUGUCAGAUUCUUGCUUGUCCUCCUACUCCUCUUACACAAAAAUCCUCCUCCUGGUUCAAUCUGUCAGCACCAGCCAUACCCUGAGAGCCUAAAAAUUCUUUUCACAUUAUAGAUAUAUGGAUAAUAUUUGUUUAAUACUGCCCUAAGUAUUUCCAAAACAGCUCCAUACGAAUAGUCUGAUCCCUGUGUGAGACAAGGUGGAAUAACAAGUGUUACAGGGGUUAAAAAGAAGUCCUUGGAAGCUUACCUUUUGCUUUUAUUAUACUGUGCAGAGGGCCAAAGACAUUUAUAUAGUAUCUGCUAUUUGUACACCACUGUCACAUUUACCUUCUACACUUAAGAAGCUCCUCUCCACUUUCAUGGCUUUUAUUAAGUAGAAAUGUAUGCGAAUGUGUGUUGAGGUUUUAGGUAAUGGUUUAAUGAUCAACUCUUUCUUUUCCUCCAGGGUGACCGGGGACCACCAGGUCCAACAGGUCCAGCCGGAGAGAAGGGGCCCAGGGGUUAUCCAGGGUUGCCAGGAAGCCCAGGGGACAUCGGCAUGCAAGGUGCACCUGGUCCACCGGGACCGAGGGGUAGUCCAGGCAUUGCUGGGCCAAAGGGUAGAAGGGUAAGAGGAGACUGUAACAUUUGGGCACAAGCUGCAUCAGUCCCUUAAAAAAAACUUCCCUCAUCAGACCUUUGGUUUGUCUGUUUCACAUCACAUCUUCUUUCCCAUAAACCAGAGCUUGAAGCAAUUAAAAGACAUGUGGAUGUCGUUCCACAUGGCCCGAGCUUCUUUAUAGGUGCAAUUACAACUGUUUCACGAGCCCCAUGAAUCUAGUGUUAGAAGACAUCAUUGUAAGGUCAAACCAGUGAGGUGAUUUAAUGCUGGUGGGACAUCGUGUGGCAGAGAGAAGAACAACACCUACAGGUGGCAAAAGAACAGUUUCUGGUUUCUGUUCUUGUGAUUUUCUAAAAAUUUAAAUUCUGCAGCAGCAGAACUUGAGGAGGAAGCAAAUUUAAAAUCCUGAACCAACUUGGCAGAUAUACAUGCCACGGCAUGUCCUGUUAUCUUUUAAUAAGGUUACUGCAGUCCUGGGGUAUUAACAGAAAUCUGGUUGCCCUCAAAAAAAGAUUGGAUUUUUUAUUUGAUUGGAAACAAACUCUUUUGUUUUGUAUCUUGACAUUUAGAAAAGUCCCUGAAGAAUCAUUUAAUUGUUAACACAUAAGCAGCUUUUCCAAAUUUCUUUUACUAGCAAGAUAGUUAAAAGUUUGGUGCUUUCUUGUAAAAUGCUGGGCUAGUGUCAGCAAGCAGAAGCUUAUUUUGGACUUUUCAACCUUUUAUUUUUGCUGAAAUCGCCCCUUUAAAUUGAUAGUUUGCAUCCACUUACAGUAGCUUCUGCACCAAACAGCAGCUUUCUAGAUGAAUGUGUCCUAUUGGGAGAAAAAACAAUUGUAAUAAGUUACUACCACAUUACUUUAGUUCUCAUCUGAGAUCGUCUUCUUUAAUUCUCAGAAUGUUUUCUUCCUUCUGCAUAUUUUGCCCAGAAAGACAUACGACACUUGCAACUUGAGUGUUUAACAUAAUUGACACGUGUCAGUUCUGUCUUUGUUGAGGUCAAAUACAUCAGUCAUUGUAAAGGCAUGUGAUUCAUUGUGGGCCAAAGAAAACUGACUAAAGUAAAUCAUUAAAAACCAGCUGUUAUUGAAACAACUAAAUAACUGCUUUGCCUAUUUUCCCACUUAAAAAAACAUGAAAAAAUGUGAAUCUCAGUCAACAUCUGGUCAGUUGUGAGACAGACAGCGAAGCUGACCAAACUUAUAGACAGGGGUGCCCAUAAGUGGUCCGCAGGUGCGCAUUCGCUGUCAAAAUAAAAGACGUGCACCAGAUAAGAAGUUGCAACGCGCGUUUGCGUACAUAUAAAAGGCACUGUUUUUGUCUGCUAGAGUGGGAUUUUCACAGCAUAUUCUGCACCACAUCUCUGUGCGUUCAUCAUUUGUUUGAAGCCAGCUCACCUCCUGCAACCACUUUUCUGAGAAUACGCGCUUCUUUUGUAGUUCGGAAAGGAGCUUGCUUCUUCGACAUCUUUAAGAGUUCUAAACAAAUGUCUGUCCUCCUCCAGAAAAUCUUAUGUUCGCAAACGCCCGUUGCAACUUCUUAUCUGGUGCGCGUCUUUUAUUUUGACAGCGAAUGGCACCUGCGGACCACUUAUGUGCACCCCUGACUAUAGAGGCAAAUCAAACAAUCUGUAGUUUACAAAAAUAUCAGUGUUUCAAAUCUGUGAUGAUUGGAAGUUGAACAUAGCAGCUAAAGUGCACACAUUCUGUUACUGGGCCACAUUACUGGGCCGUAAAACCCACAAUACAGUUUUUUUCAUUCAUAUAGUUCAUGUUUGUUUCUGUGUGUAUGAGUGUCAGAUGACUGAAGAGUGACGUUGUGGUUUAUUUGCAGCCAGUAUGCAAGACAUAUUUCAAAAACAUCAAUAACAGUCCAGGCUCUUGAUGGUAGUUGUGUUGUGCAUUCAGGUGCACUGACAUUUAAAAUGACAGCAAACCUUAUGGCAACUCAGUGUUGUCAUAAUUUUGCUGCUCCGCGACCUCAGUGCCACACUGCAGGGGUGAAUGUACGUCACCUGCUUUCAGUCAGUGUCCGUGCCACUAAGAAAAGUUUUUUCCCAGCCUAUGACCAGAUUAAACAGAUAAAUGAACAUAGCAUCCAUUAUAACAUGAAAGAUUAGGCAAAAGUAUAUGACUCAAUGGUGUUUAAAUCAAGACUGAGGUUGGAGAGGUGAACUAAAGGAAAAAAAAUACAACGAUAAAUCCUACGAGGAAGAUAAAAGAGCAGAGUGACAUGAGAGGCUCGUGCAAAAUAGCAGCAGAUUUGUCCUCAAAGGAAGAGAUAUAAAAGGGGAGACUCAAUGGAGAGAUAAGCUGAAAGGCCUAAAAGCAUGGACACGAGCAAAAAAAAGAGGGGGGCUGAGGGUGUCGGUGUUAUAGAUCAUUGUCACCCUCUGUAUGGUGUAUGGUGCGAUUGUUUCAUUACCCAUAGAUGGCAUGUGAGAGCUUAGAUGCUCAACGUACUGUUCUUUCUUUGUUGAGUGAUGUUCAGUGGUGUGGCUCGUCUUGUUUUUGCACAGGGGCCCCGAGGUCCAGAUGGCCCACCGGGAGAACUGGGUCCUGAGGGCAUCAAGGUAACAUCAUGGUAUAAAUAUAGUAGGAAACUGACACUAAUUCCUGUGUGUUAGCUGAGGCUUUAUCCUAAAUCCUGUUCCAAACGGUGGUAUGUUUUUCAGGGUGAAAAGGGGGAGAUCGGACCUAAAGGAGAGCCAGGCUUCAUAGUAAGUAGUCUUUAGGUCAACGUGUUUUCACGUCUGUAUUAGAGAGAGAUGGGGAAUGCUGUGUGUUUUACAUAUACUUGAAGACUUUUGAGUACAUUUACAUGUAGCUUCAUUUGUCUGAAGCCAAGAAUAAACAAAAAAAGUCAUAAAAUAGGCGUCAUCCAGCUGCAUCGGACAAGCCACCAAGCACGCCCCCCUUUUUGAAAAUGCACAUUCACCGCAUGGAAAAGUCAUGAGUGUGUCUGAUUUCAAACAGGUUCAAGAACAACAACGGUUUGCCCGGUGCACAAGCUCCAUGAGACUUUAAUCAGUUUUUAUCUUCAGAGGGGGGCUUUGGUCUCGUUGGCCCUGUAGCAGGUUAGACGCAAAUGCAAUUCGCCUGUGCUGCUGGCGGUCUGUAGUAAAAGAAACCUGAUCUCAAUAAGAUGAGGAGUAGCAGGAUGAAAGUAAACAUUUGGGCUGUUUUGUGCCGAAACCAUCAAGCAGUUAAAGAUAAAUGAACAACACAUUUAUUUAUUCCUCCUGUAAAACACUCACAUUUUUGUCUUCAUCUGAGAGAAAUUCCCCAAAACUCGAUGUUUGAGCCGUCAAUGUCAAACAUGCCUGCUCCCUCUUUCUGCUAUGCGGUAGUAGCUGGAUCUGUAUCACCAUAAGACAUGGUAAUGGGUUUGAUUUGGGUUAACCUAACGUAUUUCAAUACACGUUAAUUGUUCAUAUGUAUAUUUCUCUUCUUGAAGGGCAAGGCUGGAAAUUCAGGAGAGAGAGGCCCUCCUGGGAAGGCUGUGAGUAAUAUUUCUUUCUUUUUGUCUCUUAAAGCUUUAGAUUUUUUUUGAGAAGCAACAGUAUAUAAUACUACUUUAAAGCUAUCAUAAAGAAUCUUUUUAUUGCACUAACAAUCCACACUCUGCGCUCUUCAUCAGCUUGUGUUGAUGUGCUCCUUGUUGUUCGUCUGGCGUGGGUGCAGGGUUUCGCAUGUUGCACAGUACUAAAAUUAUUAUGACUCAGUUGCUAACACAAUUUCCUUCUUUUAUAUUUAAGAAAUAAGGAGUAAAUCUUCACUACUUUAAGCCCGUUUACAGUGUUCAAAGUCCAAAUAAGACAUUCAUCCAGACCUGUUUCAUUUCAUUUAAUCACAGCCAUCCAUUUUCUUCACUGUUUAUCCACUUCGUGUUUGCAGAUUGGAUAAGGGUUUAUUAAGAGAAAUGGAAUGCACUUUUCUACUCUGUUUCAUCACUCAAAGCACUUUGUAUUACAUUGCUCAAUCACCCAU
rnacentral:lncRNA from 1 species